CCGUUUCCGACGCGAGGAAGGUGACCGAAAAGAAAGCUGCUGCGGACGCGCAGAGGCAAGAAGAAGCUGCACAGAAGGCCGCAGACACUGCCGUCUUUGAUGACCAAAGCAAGUGCUUUCAGUUGCUCGAGCUCGUCCAGUACUACCCUUGGCUGUACGGGAAGCUUCGGCGCGACGAAAAAGACAACCCGAAACGGGAGAACGUCUCGGAGGAGAUUGCCCGUCUGUUCGACAUCGUGCGCUACGACAUCUGAAAGACAAAGUGGAAGUACCUGAGGGACAAGUACGCCAAGGAGGCGGCCAAUGUCGCAGCAACAGAGCGGGGCGGCUGUGGAACCUCGGACGUGUACAGGCCAAAGUGGAUCCACUUUGGCAGCUUGCGUUUCCUGACUGUGCCACUCAGGAAGCCACUGUUUCGCGAAAGUACACUUUUCAUAUUUCUCAUUCGUAUGCAACUACACGGUCCUUUUUGUCAUUUAUGCAGGUCUGAGGCUACAGGAACAUCAGAAAGCCAGUCCAGCACUGAAACUGGAGGACCCAACAUGACCCUUCGAGGUCUCAGCUGCUUUCUUGGCUGCACAGCGUGGAGCAGAGAGUGCGCAUCCACCAUGGCCAACCCCUGCGGAUGUGGAAGAAGUGACCGAGCCCCCUGCUGCACCCGACAUGUGCCUCGGCCUGCUGGUGUUCAUACAGUAAAGUGAAAGCAUUUUGGUGUUCAAGUUGCUGCCAAGGUGCUGGGUAAACCGGGAAGCCAAGGGCCGCAGACUACUGCUGAACCGCUUGCUGGCGAGCGGAGAGGAGGCAAAAAAAAAAAAACAUGCGGCAGAUGACUGACGUCGUCUUCAUCAACCCGCAUCCCGUCUUCCUGAAUCGAGAAAAGGGCCCAAAGCGGGAAUACUCCGCGGCAGAUGGGUAUCACGUCUGCCGUAUCUUUGGGGUGCACAAGAUGAGCAAGCUCAUCAAGCUCCAGCCACUGCACACUCGUGUAGCCACUGUAGGACAAGAGGCCACAACCUCCUGAACUUUAUCCGCCACGAAUAACCAUGCCAACAAGCCAUCGACUGCCCGCCAACAACCCUAUUUUUUCGGUGCCGGACCUGCCCGAUAGAGUGACUAGGGAAGGAUUGGAACAAUAUUAGCUUAGAGGAUUUGAUACACAAAGACUGCUGGACAGUACAUGGCAGCCCCGUUGCUGUACAUUGUUCUGCAAGCCUUGUGUCGCACGUCCUCUAUGAUGGUAAUGUUACUUAUCAUUCAUAGUCAACUACUCUGACAGCACUGGCAAAACCUUCUCCAACAGCCUUUUUAAAGGCCAACCA